CCUACGGGAGGCAGCAGUGGGGAAUAUUGCACAAUGGGGGAAACCCUGAUGCAGCGACGCCGCGUGAGCGAUGAAGUAUUUCGGUAUGUAAAGCUCUAUCAGCAGGGACGAAAAUGACUGUACCUAACUAAGAGUCCCCGGCUAACUACGUACCAGCAACCGAGGGAAUACGUAGGGGGCAAGCGUGAUCCGGAUUUACGGGGUGUAACGGGAGCGUAGACGGCUGUGCAAGCCAGAUGUGAAAGCCCUGGGCUCAACCCCGGGACGGCAUUUGGAACUGUGGGGCUGGAGUGUCGGAGAGGCAGGCGGAAUUCCUAGUGUAGCGGUGAAAUGCGUAGAUAUUAGGAGGAACACCAGUGGCGAAGGCGGCCCGCUGGACGAUGACUGACGUUGAGGCUCGAAAGCGUGGGGAGCAAACAGGAUUAGAUACCCCAGUAGUC
rnacentral:rRNA from 1 species